AAGAGACGUUGCCCUUCGGGGUAUACCUCCCACCCUUUGUUUAUUAUACCUUUGUGCUUUGGCGGGCCCGUCCUCGGACCACCGGCUUCUGCUGGUCAGUGCCCGCCAGAGGACCUAAAGCUCUGUUUGUUAAUAUUGUCUGAGUACUAUAUAAUAGUU
rnacentral:misc_RNA from 1 species